GAGUAGGCGCUACWACGCCKAAWUGACCUUCUCACCCUUGUGUACUCACUAUGUUGCUUUGGCGGGUCGACCUGGUUCCGACCCAGGCGGCCGGCGCCCCCAGCCUUAACUGGCCAGGACGCCCGGCUAAGUGCCCGCCAGUAUACAAAACUCAAGAAUUCAUUUUGUGAAGUCCUGAUAUAUCAUUUAAUUGAUUAAAACUUUCAACAACGGAUCUCUUGGUUCUGGCAUCGAUGAAGAACGCMGCGAAAUGCGAUAAGUAAUGUGAAUUGCAGAAUUCAGUGAAUCAUCGAAUCUUUGAACGCACAUUGCGCCCUCUGGUAUUCCGGAGGGCAUGCCUGUUCGAGCGUCAUUUCAACCCUCAAGCUCUGCUUGGUAUUGGGCAACGUCCGCUGCCGGACGUGCCUUGAAGACCUCGGCGACGGCGUCCUAGCCUCGAGCGUAGUAKUAAAAUAUCUCGCUUUGGAGUGCUGGGCGACGGCCGCCGGACAAUCGACCUUCGGUCUAUUUUUCCAAGGUUGACCUCGGAUCAGGUAGGGAUACCCGCUGAACUUAAGCAUAUCAAUAAAGCGGAGGAA
rnacentral:rRNA from 1 species